rnacentral:miRNA from 1 species
UGGCCCAAACUCUUAUGAAAUC